GAUUUUUCUUGGUUUUGGCUCUCAUAUUUGACUUACACUCAAUGAAAAAGCCCAAAUUGUAUUAAAAACCACAUUAUGUUUGGUUUAUAUCAUAAAUGAUUUAGUUUGCUUUAUGAAAAUUUCUAUAUGACGACAUGACCAUGCCAAUCUACAAGUAGCUGUAUGCAAUUAGUAUUGUUUGUUUGUUAAGUGGAAGCUUUUCCUGUCUAAGUGUGAGAGAAAGAGGGAGGGUUAUUGUGUCAAGUUAGAUCCAUAAAGAUUAUGAUAAUUUAAUCUGCUGCCAUUGGAAUUGAGGGUUAGUAGGUAGGUACCUAAAAUAGGAUUUUGAACAUGUUAGUGCUUUUAACCAUUUUAAAUAGAUUGAAUACAUAAAUUUACCCAUAAAAUAAUUAAGAAAAGUAUAUUGAACCCAUGGUCUUUUAUUUUGAUUUGUUAUACCCUUUGAACUUUUACUUUUUACCUAUUGCAUCCUUUAACUUUUAUUUUUAUAAUUAAUACACAUAAUUUUCAGUAUUUAUUGAUGAUUUAUUAUUAAAUAUAUCAUUAGAUGUAUCUUUUUUUUCUAACUUUA
rnacentral:misc_RNA from 1 species